rnacentral:rRNA from 1 species
GAGUUUGAUCCUGGCUCAGAUUGAACGCUGGCGGCAUGCCUUACACAUGCAAGUCGAACGGCAGCAUGAUCUAGCUUGCUAGAUUGAUGGCGAGUGGCGAACGGGUGAGUAAUACAUCGGAACGUGCCCUGUAGUGGGGAUAACUAGUCGAAAGAUUAGCUAAUACCGCAUACGACCUGAGGGUGAAAGUGGGGGACCGCAAGGCCUCAUGCUAUAGGAGCGGCCGAUGUCUGAUUAGCUAGUUGGUGGGGUAAAGGCCCACCAAGGCGACGAUCAGUAGCUGGUCUGAGAGGACGAUCAGCCACACUGGGACUGAGACACGGCCCAGACUCCUACGGGAGGCAGCAGUGGGGAAUUUUGGACAAUGGGCGAAAGCCUGAUCCAGCAAUGCCGCGUGUGUGAAGAAGGCC